CACUCAGCCAUGAAGCUCACUGAAUGACCUUUGGCCAGUCACCAUAUUUGAGCCUAACCUACCUCACAGGGUUGUUGUGAGGAUGGAAUGAGGAGAGGAGAAAUAUGGCAACCACUUUGAGACUCUUGGGAAAUAAACAUGGUAUGACACAAAUAAAUAAUACAAAGAGUUGUGGAAUCACGCAUAAGAAUAGAGCUGCUUAUCAGUGGCAGAACAACUGCCUUGCAUGCAGAAGGUCCAAGAUUCACUCUCCGGUAUUUCCAGGUAUAGCUGGGAAAGAUUCCUGCCUUAAAAUCUGGAGAGCUGUCAUCAGUCAAUGGAGACAACAGAUGAACACACCGCCUGUCUCUGAGUAAGACAGCUUCGAAUGGUCUUUUCCAUUAAGUGUAAUCUGGCCCUGUCCAUUUCCUAGGAGCUGCUUUAGGGAACGUUCUGUCUGCAGUGAAGCAGUUCAUGCUAGGAAUUGAAAUAGGAGUUUGAUGCUGCAUCCCUUCCUUGCUCUCAGUCAGGUCAUGAUCCAUGCAGAUGUUUCCAUUCAUUUCCACCUUCUCUUGAGUAGCCAGUGCCUGGAACGCCCUGGGAACUUGCUAUUGCUCAGCAGAGAGUGGGGGUGUCACGCAACUCUUGUAACAAUAUGUAUGUUUGUUGUAAACCACCUUGAUUUUUUUAAAUGAAUAGUGGUAUGCAAAUAUUUUUUCAUAAUUAAAAAAAACACCUGAGGAAAGUCCCUGUUGAUCAGGCCAAAGACCCAUCUACUCUAGCAUCCUGUUCUGACAGUGGCCAAACAGAUGUCCAUGAGAAGCCCACACACUUAAGGUGAAGUUCUGAGAAAACAGGAUCUAGAAGAACUUGGGUUAAGUGAAGCUUUUAAGAAUGCUACUGUAUUUGUUUUCCUUUAUCUGUGAGCACUUUUUUUGUGUGGUCUGUAAUAUGUUCAGAGUCUCUAGAAUUGCAGCUUUCGGGUUGUUUUGCAUUUGGUACUAUGAAAUCUGAGCGUUUGGGCAGAACUGAAUGUAAAAAUGUGCCUAUCUGAAGCGAAAGUGCCUGACGGCAAGCCAAACAGAAGUGAGUAAAGUGUGUGUGUGUGUGUGUGUGUGUGUGUGUGUGCACGCGCCAUCUUCCUUAUUGUUUUUAUUUAUUUAUUUUCUUGCCAGUCUCCAGCUGCUGCUCCUUUAGGGUUCACUUCACUUCGCUUCCAUGGGAUGCUUCCUCCGAGGAAAUCAGAAAGAGACGUUGUAAACAAGAAUUUACUGGAUGCUCACAAGCAUCGAGCAUCAAAAGAGCAAGGUCUGGGUGUACUUUAGUCUCCUCGCUGGUGCAGGUUUGGUUUGACUGUGCAAGUGAGCAGAUAGUGAGAAAUCUUUAUGUCAUAUGAUAGAAAAUGAACGAGACAGGCAGGAUGAAAACCAGAGGACUAAGCCGCUUCUGUGAGAUGUAUUGAAAGACAAUAAAAAAA